rnacentral:rRNA from 1 species
ACGUAGGUAGCAAGCGUUAUUCGGAUUUACUGGGCGUAAAGGGUCCGCAGGGGGUCUGCCAAGUCCGGCGUGAAAGCCCACGGCUCAACUGUGGAACGGCGCUGGAAACUGGCGGACUAGAGUGCAUGAGGGGUGAGCAGAAUUCCUGGUGUAGCGGUGGAAUGCGCAGAUAUCAGGAGGAAUACCGAUGGCGAAGGCGGCUCACUGGCGUGCAACUGACCCUCAGGGACGAAAGCGUGGGGAGCAAACAG